GGUUAAGCGACUAAGCGUACACGGUGGAUGCCCUGGCAGUCAGAGGCGAUGAAGGACGUGCUAAUCUGCGAAAAGCGUCGGUAAGGUGAUAUGAACCGUUAUAGCCGGCGAUGUCCGAAUGGGGAAACCCAGUGUGAUUCGUCACACUAUCGUUAACUGAAUACAUAGGUUAACGAGGCGAACCGGGGGAACUGAAACAUCUAAGUACCCCGAGGAAAAGAAAUCAACCGAGAUUCCCCCAGUAGCGGCGAGCGAACGGGGAGCAGCCCAGAGUCUGAAUCAGCUUGUGUGUUAGUGGAACGGUCUGGAAAGUCCGACGGUACAGGGUGAUAGUCCCGUACACCAAAAUGCACAGGCUGUGAACUCGAAGAGUAGGGCGGGACACGUGGUAUCCUGUCUGAAUAUGGGGGGACCAUCCUCCAAGGCUAAAUACUCCUGACUGACCGAUAGUGAACCAGUACCGUGAGGGAAAGGCGAAAAGAACCCCGGCGAGGGGAGUGAAAAAGAACCUGAAACCGUGUACGUACAAGCAGUGGGAGCACCUUCGGGUGUGACUGCGUACCUUUUGUAUAAUGGGUCAGCGACUUAUAUUCUGUAGCAAGGUUAACCGUAUAGGGGAGCCGCAGGGAAACCGAGUCUUAACUGGGCGUUAAGUUGCAGGGUAUAGACCCGAAACCCGGUGAUCUAGCCAUGGGCAGGUUGAAGGUUGGGUAACACUAACUGGAGGACCGAACCGACUAAUGUUGAAAAAUUAGCGGAUGACUUGUGGCUGGGGGUGAAAGGCCAAUCAAACCGGGAGAUAGCUGGUUCUCCCCGAAAGCUAUUUAGGUAGCGCCUCGUGAAUUCAUCUUCGGGGGUAGAGCACUGUUUCGGCUAGGGGGUCAUCCCGACUUACCAACCCGAUGCAAACUACGAAUACCGAAGAAUGUUAUCACGGGAGACACACGGCGGGUGCUAACGUCCGUCGUGAAGAGGGAAACAACCCAGACCGCCAGCUAAGGUCCCAAAGUCAUGGUUAAGUGGGAAACGAUGUGGGAAGGCACAGACAGCCAGGAUGUUGGCUUAGAAGCAGCCAUCAUUUAAAGAAAGCGUAAUAGCUCACUGGUCGAGUCGGCCUGCGCGGAAGAUGUAACGGGGCUAAACCAUGCACCGAAGCUGCGGCAGCGACACUAUGUGUUGUUGGGUAGGGGAGCGUUCUGUAAGCCUGCGAAGGUGUGCUGUGAGGCAUGCUGGAGGUAUCAGAAGUGCGAAUGCUGACAUAAGUAACGAUAAAGCGGGUGAAAAGCCCGCUCGCCGGAAGACCAAGGGUUCCUGUCCAACGUUAAUCGGGGCAGGGUGAGUCGACCCCUAAGGCGAGGCCGAAAGGCGUAGUCGAUGGGAAACAGGUUAAUAUUCCUGUACUUGGUGUUACUGCGAAGGGGGGACGGAGAAGGCUAUGUUAGCCGGGCGACGGUUGUCCCGGUUUAAGCAUGUAGGCUGGUUGUCCAGGCAAAUCCGGAUAAUCAAGGCUGAGGUGUGAUGACGAGGCACUACGGUGCUGAAGUAACAAAUGCCCUGCUUCCAGGAAAAGCCUCUAAGCAUCAGGUAACAUCAAAUCGUACCCCAAACCGACACAGGUGGUCAGGUAGAGAAUACCAAGGCGCUUGAGAGAACUCGGGUGAAGGAACUAGGCAAAAUGGUGCCGUAACUUCGGGAGAAGGCACGCUGGUGUGUAGGUGAAGUCCCUGCGGAUGGAGCUGAGACCAGUCGAAGAUACCAGCUGGCUGCAACUGUUUAUUAAAAACACAGCACUGUGCAAACACGAAAGUGGACGUAUACGGUGUGACGCCUGCCCGGUGCCGGAAGGUUAAUUGAUGGGGUUAUCCGUAAGGAGAAGCUCUUGAUCGAAGCCCCGGUAAACGGCGGCCGUAACUAUAACGGUCCUAAGGUAGCGAAAUUCCUUGUCGGGUAAGUUCCGACCUGCACGAAUGGCGUAAUGAUGGCCAGGCUGUCUCCACCCGAGACUCAGUGAAAUUGAACUCGCUGUGAAGAUGCAGUGUACCCGCGGCAAGACGGAAAGACCCCGUGAACCUUUACUAUAGCUUGACACUGAACAUUGAGCCUUGAUGUGUAGGAUAGGUGGGAGGCUUUGAAGCGUGGACGCCAGUCUGCGUGGAGCCAACCUUGAAAUACCACCCUUUAAUGUUUGAUGUUCUAACGUUGGCCCCUUACCGGGGUUGCGGACAGUGUCUGGUGGGUAGUUUGACUGGGGCGGUCUCCUCCCAAAGCGUAACGGAGGAGCACGAAGGUUAGCUAAUCCUGGUCGGACAUCAGGAGGUUAGUGCAAUGGCAUAAGCUAGCUUGACUGCGAGCGUGACGGCGCGAGCAGGUGCGAAAGCAGGUCAUAGUGAUCCGGUGGUUCUGAAUGGAAGGGCCAUCGCUCAACGGAUAAAAGGUACUCCGGGGAUAACAGGCUGAUACCGCCCAAGAGUUCAUAUCGACGGCGGUGUUUGGCACCUCGAUGUCGGCUCAUCACAUCCUGGGGCUGAAGUAGGUCCCAAGGGUAUGGCUGUUCGCCAUUUAAAGUGGUACGCGAGCUGGGUUUAGAACGUCGUGAGACAGUUCGGUCCCUAUCUGCCGUGGGCGCUGGAGAAUUGAGGGGGGCUGCUCCUAGUACGAGAGGACCGGAGUGGACGCAUCACUGGUGUUCGGGUUGUCAUGCCAAUGGCACUGCCCGGUAGCUAAAUGCGGAAGAGAUAAGUGCUGAAAGCAUCUAAGCACGAAACUUGCCCCGAGAUGAGUUCUCCCUGAGACUUUAAGUCUCCUGAAGGAACGUUGAAGACGACGACGUUGAUAGGCCGGGUGUGUAAGCGCAGCGAUGCGUUGAGCUAACCGGUACUAAUGAACCGUGAGGCUUAACCUU
rnacentral:rRNA from 1 species